GGAGAUUCAAGAUAUCACCCAUGAGGAGGUGCACUGCACUCUGAAAGAAACACCUGAGUGUUCUAAUUUAUAUAAUCAGAAAUCGGGUAAACAUAUGUGAAAAUGGAUAAUAAGGGUGUGGGAAUAACAAUAGAAGAGACACGAAGUUUGAUGACACCAAAUUAAUAUAUGUGGUCUCAUUAAGUAGAGAUUCUGCAUUUAAUAUAGUACAUUGGGAUGUAGCCAAUGAUUAGGCUGGAAGGUUAAGGAUUUGUGAGGGAUUAUAGGAUUGAUGAUGAAGAAAAUUAAGGAAAAACUAUCUGGAUAAACCUCUUUGAGGGGGCAAAAUAUCCUAAUUUUGAAAUAGGCCUAUUCAGUAUGUUGUUCAGAGGGCUAUUCAGAGAAUGGAAACCCAAGGCUCACCUUUCUUGAGUCUAAGUACCCACUCAGCCAAGUAUAUUUAGCAAAAUAGAAAAACCAAACUGCUUUGGUGACUGGACUUUGCCAAUGUCUGAAAGAAAGAAGUAACAGAAAGGAGAGUCUAAAGUUGAUCCUGUACAGUAUAAAACAUUUCCCCAAAACGACUUUGCUUCUAACACCUAUAUUGAUGCUACCUCCCAUCUGAGAAAGAAGGGGGAUAUAAGCAGGAGUCAAGGCCAGGCACAGUGGCUCAUGCCUAUAAUACCAGCACUUUGUGAGGCCUAAGUGGGAGAAUCCCCUGAGCCCAGGAGUUUGAGACAAAGCUAGAUGACUUAGAGAGAGCCCAUUUCUUUAAAAAAAAAAAAAAAAAAAAAAAAAAAAAAAAAAAAAAGCAGGACAUUGAGGUGAAAUGCCUGUAGGGUUAGUUAGUCAGGAGGCUGAGGCAGGAGAAUUGAUUGAGCCCAGUAGUUUAAGGUUGAAGUGAGCUAUGAUUGCACCACUGCUUCACUGCAUUCCAACUUCAGAAACACAAUGUGACCCUCUCUCUCUCCCUCUCUCUUUCUCUCUCUUUCUCAGAAGAAGAAGGAGGAUGAGGAGGAGGAAGAGGAGAAAGAAAUGAUAUGGAAGAGGGGCAGGGAACUGCAGGGAGGAGAAGGGUGGGUCCCUGGCAAGGGCUCCACCCUUGGCUUGUGCCCAGGGACCUAGGUGAGGACAGGCACUCCUGCUUUCACACCCAAAUGUUGCAUUUCCCAAGAUCACUCUGCCUUGCCACACCCCCAUCAUAUGCCUAUAAAACUCCUGAGACUCUAGCAGGCAAGCACACAAGUGGCUGGACGUCAAAACGAGUGGAUUAGCAGAAGAAGAAACAAGUGGCUGGACAUCAAAAGGA
rnacentral:lncRNA from 1 species